AUUGAACGCUGGCGGCAUGCCUUACACAUGCAAGUCGAACGGUAGCAGGUCUUCGGAUGCUGACGAGUGGCGCACGGGUGAGUAAUACAUCGGAACGUGCCCAGACGUGGGGGAUAACGAGGCGAAAGCUUUGCUAAUACCGCAUACGAUCUAAGGAUGAAAGCAGGGGACCGCAAGGCCUUGUGCGUUUGGAGCGGCCGAUGGCAGAUUAGGUAGUUGGUGGGAUAAAAGCUUACCAAGCCGACGAUCUGUAGCUGGUCUGAGAGGACGACCAGCCACACUGGGACUGAGACACGGCCCAGACUCCUACGGGAGGCAGCAGUGGGGAAUUUUGGACAAUGGGCGAAAGCCUGAUCCAGCAAUGCCGCGUGCAGGAUGAAGGCCUUCGGGUUGUAAACUGCUUUUGUACGGAACGAAAAGGCUCUGGCUAAUACCUGGGGCACAUGACGGUACCGUAAGAAUAAGCACCGGCUAACUACGUG
rnacentral:rRNA from 1 species